UUAUUUUGACUUUGAUUUUUUCAAUUUUUUCUUUCUCUUUUUUUUUUGAAUCUGAGCUUGUAGGGUUAGGUAAGUCAUUGUUAUCCCUUUCGAAGAAUCUUCUUUGAUAUCGGAUUUCUUUCACAGAGCCUCCUGGGGCGAAACUACGAUAGAAAACUUUGGAUCCUCCUCUUCAAUCAUGAUAAAAUCCAACAGAACUUGAAGAGAUGGAAACUCGUCUUCAAAUGGGUAAAGCUAUAUUGAGUCAACUAGAAAAGCAUUGCCCCGGCAAAGAAUUCUCAUUG
rnacentral:lncRNA from 1 species